AUAUCUUCUACGGCUCUCUGACUAUUGUGUGCAUUGGCGUACCCAGCGUGUGUGCAAGGUGUGUCGUGGCACACCCAGAUAUUUGAGAAAUUAUUUUUUACCAUAUAGUAUUUUUGGCCCAAAUCAAACGACACAUGCCCAACCCACUUCACGUAAGCGGUUGAGAGAGCCAGAGCCCAGAAGAGGCAGUAGUCAGGGGCAGCGUAGCAGAGCAACCUAAUCCAUCCCGCUGCGCUCGGGCGCUCGGCUCCUUCCAUCAGGUCGCGCCGCCGCCAGCAGCCAGGACGCACCGGCGCCUCCGCCUGUCCACUCCACCAGCCACCCGGACAUCCCGCCGCCAGCCGCUCCUGGCCUCCUUCCAACAGAACGCAGCGACACGCCGCCAUUCGCCUUCUCGGUCGGAGCAACCACGCCCGCCUCCCAUCUUGAUUUCUGACCGCUGUCGCCGUUUUGGGUCUGGUCUCCCGAGCAGGAAGAGCUACAGGCUGCAGCUACUACCGGCCUACCGCCUCCGACCCUUCGCCUCAUCCGCACAGCCGACCGACGCCCUCGUCCUAGUGGCCAGUUCUCAGUCAGUGGAAUAGAAGAUGAAGAGGAAUGGUGACAUUAAGUCCUUUUUCUGGAAUUAUGAGGCUGCUAAAAGAAAGAAGGCUGCAGCCGAAGAGCAACUUGAAUAUGAAGAUAUAGUGUCAAAUAUUGAAGAUGAAGCAGUCCUUCCUCCACCUCUAGUCCAUUCUGCAGAGAUUGUAGUUGAUAUUGAAGAUGAAGCAUUCCAUUCCGAUGUAGAGAUUGAAAGUGAUAGUGAAAAUGAAGCGGCAUCACCCCAACAUCCAUGUGCAAGGCCAUAUAAUAUUCAAAGGCUUCCUCCUAAUCCAGGGGAGAGGAUUCCUAUUUCAGCGUAUGAUGUCGAUGAUCAAGAUGAAGUUCGGAGACGAUACAUUGCAAAGCAAGCAGUCCAACCAUAUGCACACAACUUUCAAUUCAGGAAAAUCUAUGGUAAAAAUUGACACUUCAACUUUGUUUGGUUUGAGACCUACAAAUGGCUAGAAUAUAGUGUCAAAUAUGAGGCAACAUUUUGCUUUGUGUGUUAUUUGUUCAAAGGGAAAUCUAAUCGGGGGCCUAGGGGUGAUGCCUUUGUUAAUGGUGGUUGGAAAUAUUGGUAUAAGCCCGAUGCAUUGGUCAAACAUGUUGGUGGUAUUAAUAGCAUUCACAACAAAGCUCAAGAGAAGUACAAUACGUGGGCAAGGGUAUGAUGGGGCUAGUAACAAGAAAGGGGAGGUUAGGGUUGAAAACAUUGAUCAUGAAAGAGUCACCCUCUGCCUAUUACAUCCAUUGUUUUGCACAUCAACUUCAGUUGGUUCUUAUAGCUGUGGCAAGGGACAAUGAACCAUGUUUGUGGUUCUUUGAUCAUGUUUCUUACUUGCUCAAUAUUGUUGGAGUUUCUUGUAAGCGCCAUGACAUGCUUUGAGAUGUUAGAUCUCAAAAGGUGUUGGAAGCACUUGAAAUGGGUGAGAUUGAAAGUGGAAGUGGGCUAAAUCAAGAGAUGGGACUAGCUAGACCCGGCGACACUCGUUGGGGUUCUCAUUUUAAAACCAUUAUGCACAUUGUUAGCAUGUAUUCCACAAUCCUUGAAGUACUUGAUGCUAUUGGAAAAGAUCCUUCACAAAAAAGUGAGUGGACAAGAAUACAUGGAGUUGCUCAAGCCUUUGAAUCAUUUGACUUUGUUUUCAAUCUUCACUUGAUACUUGUUAUUCUUUGCUAUACAAAUGAGUUUUCCAAAUCUUUGCAAAAGAGAGAUCAAGAUAUUGUCAAUGCAAUGACACUUGUUAGUUUGGCAAAGAGUAGAAUGCAACACAUGAGGUCUUAUGGCUGGGAAGAUUUUCUUGCAAAGCUAACCUUAUUUUGCAACAAACAUGACAUUCAAGUUCCUUUGUGGGAGGAUAUUUAUGAGCCUAAUUGAAGAUCACGUCGGUAUUAUGAAGUACAAACAAAUGAUGAUCGUUAUAGAAGAGAAGUAUAUCUUGGUGUCAUUGAUCAAACCAUUCAAGAGCUUGACAAUCGGUUUGAUGAGGUUAAUACGGAGUUGCUUAUUUGCAUGUCGGCUUUGAAUCCCCUCAAUUCAAUUGCUUCUUAUGAUGCACUCAAGGUGACGACGGCUAGUGUUUAAAGAGUGUUUUCAGCAAUGAAUCUAGUGAAAAAUAAGUUGAGGACUACUAUGAGUGAUGAUCACUUGAAUGAUUGCUUAGUGACAUUUAUUGAAUGGGAUGUGUUCAUGGAAGUAAGCGAAGAUGACAUAGUUGAUGCUUUCAUGGCAAUGCAAAAACGUAGAGUUACCUAGUGAUGUAAUUUUCUACUUGUGCUUCUUUCAUGUAAGACUACUCGUAUUGUAAUUGAGCACAUUUGAGAUAUAUUUUGUGAACUAAAUUGUUGUGAGAUUUGCAUUAA